rnacentral:rRNA from 1 species
CACUAUCGUUAACUGAAUACAUAGGUUAACGAGGCGAACCGGGGGAACUGAAACAUCUAAGUACCCCGAGGAAAAGAAAUCAACCGAGAUUCCCCCAGUAGCGGCGAGCGAACGGGGAGCAGCCCAGAGUCUGAAUCAGCUUGUGUGUUAGUGGAACGGUCUGGAAAGUCCGACGGUACAGGGUGAUAGUCCCGUACACCAAAAUGCACAGGCUGUGAACUCGAAGAGUAGGGCGGGACACGUGGUAUCCUGUCUGAAUAUGGGGGGACCAUCCUCCAAGGCUAAAUACUCCUGACUGACCGAUAGUGAACCAGUACCGUGAGGGAAAGGCGAAAAGAACCCCGGCGAGGGGAGUGAAAAAGAACCUGAAACCGUGUACGUACAAGCAGUGGGAGCACCUUCGGGUGUGACUGCGUACCUUUUGUAUAAUGGGUCAGCGACUUAUAUUCUGUAGCAAGGUUAACCGUAUAGGGGAGCCGCAGGGAAACCGAGUCUUAACUGGGCGUUAAGUUGCAGGGUAUAGACCCGAAACCCGGUGAUCUAGCCAUGGGCAGGUUGAAGGUUGGGUAACACUAACUGGAGGACCGAACCGACUAAUGUUGAAAAAUUAGCGGAUGACUUGUGGCUGGGGGUGAAAGGCCAAUCAAACCGGGAGAUAGCUGGUUCUCCCCGAAAGCUAUUUAGGUAGCGCCUCGUGAAUUCAUCUUCGGGGGUAGAGCACUGUUUCGGCUAGGGGGUCAUCCCGACUUACCAACCCGAUGCAAACUACGAAUACCGAAGAAUGUUAUCACGGGAGACACACGGCGGGUGCUAACGUCCGUCGUGAAGAGGGAAACAACCCAGACCGCCAGCUAAGGUCCCAAAGUCAUGGUUAAGUGGGAAACGAUGUGGGAAGGCACAGACAGCCAGGAUGUUGGCUUAGAAGCAGCCAUCAUUUAAAGAAAGCGUAAUAGCUCACUGGUCGAGUCGGCCUGCGCGGAAGAUGUAACGGGGCUAAACCAUGCACCGAAGCUGCGGCAGCGACACUAUGUGUUGUUGGGUAGGGGAGCGUUCUGUAAGCCUGCGAAGGUGACCUGUGAGGGUUGCUGGAGGUAUCAGAAGUGCGAAUGCUGACAUAAGUAACGAUAAAGCGGGUGAAAAGCCCGCUCGCCGGAAGACCAAGGGUUCCUGUCCAACGUUAAUCGGGGCAGGGUGAGUCGACCCCUAAGGCGAGGCCGAAAGGCGUAGUCGAUGGGAAACAGGUUAAUAUUCCUGUACUUGGUGUUACUGCGAAGGGGGGACGGAGAAGGCUAUGUUAGCCGGGCGACGGUUGUCCCGGUUUAAGCAUGUAGGCUGGUUAUCCAGGCAAAUCCGGAUAAUCAAGGCUGAGGUGUGAUGACGAGGCACUACGGUGCUGAAGUAACAAAUGCCCUGCUUCCAGGAAAAGCCUCUAAGCAUCAGGUAACAUCAAAUCGUACCCCAAACCGACACAGGUGGUCAGGUAGAGAAUACCAAGGCGCUUGAGAGAACUCGGGUGAAGGAACUAGGCAAAAUGGUGCCGUAACUUCGGGAGAAGGCACGCUGGUGUGUAGGUGAAGUCCCUGCGGAUGGAGCUGAGACCAGUCGAAGAUACCAGCUGGCUGCAACUGUUUAUUAAAAACACAGCACUGUGCAAACACGAAAGUGGACGUAUACGGUGUGACGCCUGCCCGGUGCCGGAAGGUUAAUUGAUGGGGUUAUCCGUAAGGAGAAGCUCUUGAUCGAAGCCCCGGUAAACGGCGGCCGUAACUAUAACGGUCCUAAGGUAGCGAAAUUCCUUGUCGGGUAAGUUCCGACCUGCACGAAUGGCGUAAUGAUGGCCAGGCUGUCUCCACCCGAGACUCAGUGAAAUUGAACUCGCUGUGAAGAUGCAGUGUACCCGCGGCAAGACGGAAAGACCCCGUGAACCUUUACUAUAGCUUGACACUGAACAUUGAGCCUUGAUGUGUAGGAUAGGUGGGAGGCUUUGAAGCGUGGACGCCAGUCUGCGUGGAGCCAACCUUGAAAUACCACCCUUUAAUGUUUGAUGUUCUAACGUUGGCCCCUUACCGGGGUUGCGGACAGUGUCUGGUGGGUAGUUUGACUGGGGCGGUCUCCUCCCAAAGCGUAACGGAGGAGCACGAAGGUUAGCUAAUCCUGGUCGGACAUCAGGAGGUUAGUGCAAUGGCAUAAGCUAGCUUGACUGCGAGCGUGACGGCGCGAGCAGGUGCGAAAGCAGGUCAUAGUGAUCCGGUGGUUCUGAAUGGAAGGGCCAUCGCUCAACGGAUAAAAGGUACUCCGGGGAUAACAGGCUGAUACCGCCCAAGAGUUCAUAUCGACGGCGGUGUUUGGCACCUCGAUGUCGGCUCAUCACAUCCUGGGGCUGAAGUAGGUCCCAAGGGUAUGGCUGUUCGCCAUUUAAAGUGGUACGCGAGCUGGGUUUAGAACGUCGUGAGACAGUUCGGUCCCUAUCUGCCGUGGGCGCUGGAGAAUUGAGGGGGGCUGCUCCUAGUACGAGAGGACCGGAGUGGACGCAUCACUGGUGUUCGGGUUGUCAUGCCAAUGGCACUGCCCGGUAGCUAAAUGCGGAAGAGAUAAGUGCUGAAAGCAUCUAAGCACGAAACUUGCCCCGAGAUGAGUUCUCCCUGAGACUUUAAGUCUCCUGAAGGAACGUU